CUGGUUUUAUAUGUGUUUAAAAGAAUUGUAUUCCUCUGAUUGUUCGGUAGAAUCAUUCGAAUAAACUAAGGGAAUGAAACUACCGAACAAUCAGACCUCCCCUGUGUGAAGUGUGUCCUCAAUUACCCGUUGCAACAUUGUUGCGAACGGGUAGUUGACAAGUUAAGUAGCCGUCCUUUGUUCUCGGGGGUGGCCGCCAUUCGACAAACGAACACGUGGCGGCGGCCAUUUUAAAACUCCC